UGUAACGGCCAUACCACGUUGGCGCACCAGUUCCCGUUCGAUCACUGAAGUUAAGCAACGUCGGGCGCGGUUAGUACUUGGAUGGGUGACCGCUUGGGAACCCCGCGUGCCAUUACUU
rnacentral:rRNA from 1 species